rnacentral:misc_RNA from 1 species
UCCGGUUUGUCACCGGCAGUCCCCCAUGAGUCCCCGGCCGAACCGCUGGCAACAUGGGGCGGGGGUUGCGCUCGUUGCGGGACUUAACCCAACACCUCACGGCACGAGCUGACGACAGCCAUGCACCACCUGUGAUGGUGUCCCGAAGGAAAACCGUGUUUCCACGGCUGUCACCAACAUGUCAAGCCCAGGUAAGGUUCUUCGCGUUGCGUCGAAUUGAACCACAUGCUCCGCUGCUUGUGCGGGUCCCCGUCAAUUCCUUUGAGUUUUAGCCUUGCGGCCGUACUCCCCAGGCGGGGCGCUUAAUGCGUUAGCUACGGCACGGAUCCCGUGGAAGGAAACCCACACCUAGCGCCCACCGUUUACGGCGUGGACUAC